rnacentral:lncRNA from 1 species
GGCGCGUAGGCAUUGUAGGAUUGCUGAUAGGGUUGGUGUUUGGGAUUGGCUUAGGUGGCAAGCAAGUGCUGCAGCCACUUGCAUACGCAAGAAACACGAGAUUAAUAUAUAGGUAUAUAUAGUGCUGCGGAAAAAGAUCGGUGGGAUUCCACUGUUCUCCAAGUUGAUAACCCCUAUCAACAUUGAUUGACAUGCGAUUAUAGAGCUAAGGAUGUGAUUAGCUUUGGGACUAAGUGUGACCGAAAGUUGGGCUUAUAGAGGAGCAAGUAUGAGAACUCCGAAGUGUAUGAGCCACAAGACUCGCAUGUGUGAAACAAAUAGUAUGGAGGUACUAUUAUAAUUAGUUACCAAGUUGAUACUACGUACUUAUAAGACUAACUAUAGAGCUGCACUUUUCAAUUAACUAGGAGAUGUUGAUAGAGAUAAUCUUAGUAAUCUAUGUAUUAACUUGUCUGU